ACCUCGUAAGACGAGGAUAACGACUGGAAACGGUCGCUAAAACUGGAUAGGAUCAUUUGAGGCACCUCGAAUGAUUUAAAGGGGCUUCAAGCCACACUUAGAGAAAGGCCUGCGGCGCAUUAGGCUAGUUGGUGGGGUAGAGGCCUACCAAGGCGAUGAUGCGUAGCCGGGACUGAGAGGUCGAACGGCCACAUUGGGACUGAGACACGGCCCAAACUCCUACGGGAGGCAGCAGUAGGGAAUUUCGGCAAUGGGGGAAACCCUGACCGAGCAACGCCGCGUGAAUGAAGACGUAUUCGGUAUGUAAAGUUCUUUUAUUAAGGAAGAAUAUCACGGAUAGGAAAUGAUCUGUGAGUGACGGUACUUAAUGAAUAAGCCCCGGCUAACUAUGUGCCAGCCGCCGC
rnacentral:rRNA from 1 species